rnacentral:rRNA from 1 species
UACGUAGGGGGCUAGCGUUGUCCGGAAUCAUUGGGCGUAAAGGGCGCGUAGGUGGCCCGGUCAGCGUGCGGUGAAAGCUCGGGGCUCAACCCCGAGUCGGCCGUGCGAACUGCUGGGCUCGAGCACUGUAGAGGCAGGCGGAAUUCCGGGUGUAGCGGUGGAAUGCGUAGAGAUCCGGAAGAACACCGGUGGCGAAGGCGGCCUGCUGGGCAGUGGCUGACACUGAGGCGCGACAGCGUGGGGAGCAAACAGG